AACUGAACUACAAAGUUAGUGGAGUCCCCUCCCCCCCCCCGCCUCCCCCUGACCCAAGCGCACCGCCUCUCACCGCCUCCCGCUCCAGCGACAGGAACCCUGCCAAGGAAGAGGGAAAGGAUUAGGAUUUCCCCAGAUGGAGCCACGGAGUUCUGGAGGAGGGGGGUUUUGUUUCUGAGUCAGCAGUGAGCCCACAGGAGAGACCCUGCCUGACGCCUCUCCCCACUCACCAACUUUGGGAUUUGGCCCUGUGGCUUGGGUCUUCCUAAGCUGCCAGCACACACAGCAAGAUGUGCUUCCAAUCUCCUUCACCCACCUCCUUCAUCGCCAACAUCCUAUCGUGCUUAGACUGAGGUGGAGGGCAUAAUAUAUGCAAAGGCUCACACCAUAGACUGGGAUAAGGAGACCAGGCCAUCUUCUAGAAGGAUUGCUGAGGUGCACCCUCAGCAAGAGACACAGUUACCAGGAGCACAGAUGGUGGACUUCCUCAUGAUUUCUGGCAAGAGCACAGCCCAUGAACACGGCCCUCAGCUGCAAUGGGGCCACAGACCUAGACAAGGUCAUUGAAGGCAGCCUGGACCGUGGACAUCAACACAGACCCUGACUGGAAUAGGACCUUGAACCCAGACAUGGCCCUCAGUGGCAGCAAGGCCCAUGACAUUAGCAUGGCUUCAGUCUGUGGCACAGACUGUGAAUAUCCACUUGGAUGUUGAUUUUCUUCACAGCCUGGGGUAGUAGCAUAGGCCACAGACACCAACGUGGCCUCCCGUGGCAUCACUGACCAUGGUGGUCCUUCUAGGAGGUCUGAUCCGGAAAGUGGACCGUUCCACAUCUCAGGUCUCCACUGUUGUCCAGAGCCAGGACAGUCCUGCUGGCAGCGUAUUCAAUCUGCCUAAGCGUCAAGCUGCUGCACACAACUGGUUCACUAACCCUGCAUGCUCGACUUCAGCCCUCUCUUACACCUGUCACUGACUGCUAGUCUCCUGCCCUGCCUUUCCCCACACACACAUCACUUCUUCUCUCUAUCUUUCCCACCUCUCAUUGCAUAUUUGUUCAGCAUAGUGAUACCCACCUAGGGAGGUAGAGCAGUCAGUAGCAUUUGUUUUUGCUUGCCUGUUUUCUUUUCUAUUUUAACAGUAGCCAUUGUGACAGAGGUGUGAUGAUCUCAGUGUCAUUUUGAUUUGUAUUUUCUUGCUAGCUAAAGAUGUGGCCAGUUUUAUUUGUUUGUCUGUUUGUUUUCAUUUGUUUUGUUGCAAAUUUUACUUUCUCUUUGAUAAACUGCCUUGUGGUUUCCUUUACACUUUUACUGAUUGAAUCAUUUUAGUGUUUAAUUUCUUGAGUUCUUUGUAUCCUAUAGAUGUCCAUUCUCUGUCAGAUAUAUAGCUAAAGAAGAUUUUCUGCCUUUCUCUGGUCUUUACUCUGUGCUGUGUAAAACAACAGAACAUAAUUUCAUAGAAUUCUUUUUGUCAACUUUUGAAAUCUCCUGAGUUAUUGGAGAUUCCUUUUAAAAGAAAUUAUUGCCUAUGACUAUAUCUUGAAAUGUUUUCCCCUAUAUAGAUUCAGAGAGGUUUUGGGGGGAAGUGAGGUCUAGGAAUCACUUUGAAUAGAUUAUUGAAUCAUGUGAAAAGUAAAGAUUUCUCAGAAAGAUGAGCCACAGGAAGCAAAUUAAAGGGAAAUAAUAAAAGAAGUCUGACUGUUUCUGUUGGUUUUAGGCAGCACCAUUGGAACAGAAUAAGGUUUUCUCACUAUGUAUCAGAAUUAUAAGAUCAGUGUUUGCCACCUAACGCUUGAAUUCUCAGUGACCUUUGAAAAGUUUACUCUUUCUUUUUUGCUGUUUUCUAAUUAUACUCAGUAAGUUUGUAUUGCUAUGAUUCUUUUCUGUAUUUUUAAAACUAAGUACAUAGAUUUUUAUAUAUCAAUAAACAACUUAACCUUGCAUAUAUCCACUAAAGGGGGAAAUUAUUUUAGGAAUCAGCAUAUUAGGAGUAAGGGAGACUAGAAGGAAAGAUGUUAAAGUACAAAAGUGGCUGGUGUUGUUUAAAAGGUUAACCUAUAUUUUACUUUUGCCUGUCUGUAUUUUCCAAAGUCUCUAUUGGUAGCAUGCAUGGUGUCCAUUAUUAGGGAAAAGGAUCCUGCAUUAGUUGCUCUUACAGUCUGUUAUAAAACCCAUGAUGAAGGCAGGUUAUGGGAGACAGAGGUUAGUUGGGCUUCAGGUUCCAGAAAGAUGAAUCCACCAUGAUGGGGAAGACUGCUGCCAGGAAAGAUGUAGCUUAGGACAAGAAGCUCAGUGUUCACAUGCAGAACUCCAGCCACAGAGCAGAGACAGCAACCUGGAAGUGAGGGAGCAUCUUAGCUCUGAAAAUAUACUCCUCCAGUGACAAACACACUGCCUCCAGCAAGACUACACACUGCCUAACCCUCCCCAAACAGCACCAGGAACCAGGAACCAGCCAAAUACAGAGGUCUGUGGGAGUCAUUCUCAUUCAAAGAGCUACAGAUCCGUAAUGGCGUUUUGAAGGGCUAUCCACAUCUCUAGUUCUCUGGUUCUGCUUUUUAGCAACUCACCGGUUCCUUUUGGCACCAAAGGAACGAGUUAAAAAAAUGGGCUGAGGUGCCAGGUCACAGAGUGUUUACUUGGUGUAUCUGAGGUUCCCUUUAGAUCAUCGCAUUGAAGAAAGGAGAAGGGAAGAAGCCCUCCAGUUUAGAAACAAGUAAAAAGCCUGAAGCUGUUACUA